rnacentral:piRNA from 1 species
CUGGAACAUAUGUGCCGCCUGGAC